rnacentral:rRNA from 1 species
GACGAACGCUGGCGGCGUGCUUAACACAUGCAAGUCGAGCGGUAAGGCCCUUUCGGGGGUACACGAGCGGCGAACGGGUGAGUAACACGUGGGUGACCUGCCCUCAGCUCUGGGAUAAGCCUGGGAAACUGGGUCUAAUACUGGAUAUGACUCCACGGUGCAUGUCGUGGGGUGGAAAGCCUUGUGCGGCUGAGGAUGGGCCCGCGGCCUAUCAGCUUGUUGGGGGGUGAUGGCCUACCAAGGCGACGACGGGUAGCCGGCCUGAGAGGGCGACCGGCCACACUGGGACUGAGACACGGCCCAGGACUCCUACGGGAGGCAGCAGUGGGAAUCUUGCGCAAUGGGCGAAAGCCUGACGCAGCGACGCCGCGUGAGGGA